rnacentral:rRNA from 1 species
CCAAUAGCGUAUAUUAAAGUUGCUGCAGUUAAAAAGCUCGUAGUUGAAUUUCGGGACUAAUAUGUCGGUCGUGCCUCGGUACGUACUGGUAUUUUUGGUUUCUCCCUUCUGACGAACCUUGAUGUCAUUAAUUUGGUGUCUUGGGAAAUCAGGACUGUUACUUUGAAAAAAUUAGAGUGUUUAAAGCAGGCUCACGCUUGAAUACAUUAGCAUGGAAUAAUGAAAUAGGACGUUUGAUUCUAUUUUGUUGGUUUCUAGGAUCGACGUAAUGAUUAAUAGGGAUAGUUGGGUGCAUUAGUAUUCAAUUGUCAGAGGUGAAAUUCUUGGAUUUAUUGAAGACUAACUACUGCGAAAGCAUUUGCCAAGGAUGUUUUCAUUAAUCAAGAACGAAAGUUAGGGGAUCGAAGACGAUCAGAUACCGUCAUAGUCUUAACCAUAAACUAUGCCGACUAGGGAUCGGAUGAUGUUAAUUUUUUAAUGACUCAUUCGGCGCCUUACG